CUCCACGGCCUCAACAUAUUCUUCUUUAAUAGCAUGUAAGAGAGAAUCCUUUACUUGAAUUCCCCAAUCUAGAAGAAUCUUUAUCAACUCAAUAUUUUCAUUUUCAAUGGCUGAAAUGAGGGCAGAUCGAUUCAGUGGAUCUACACAAUUAAUAUUUAAUAUCUCAGGAUGGCCCUUAUGUUCUUCAAGAAGCCUAUUGAAUAGAAAAUCUUGAUGCGCUGACUAAAAAAUGCUUCUCAACGGGACCAAGCACAUAUUCCGUAGGUGGUUUGAGAGAUUGAACUGAUGGUGCUCGAGCUUCAUUUUGCAACAGAUCUUCACGAGAUUCUGAUCUAAACAACUAAAUUGGUGUUCGGCAUGCAAGAGUCGGUGACAAAUUGUCUAAUAAGGCUGACCAUCGAACAUGGAGACUCAAUGGAAUCCUUACAAUACACAUGACAUCCAAGUGGGGGUUAAGAACUGGAUUAAGCACAAUAUAAACCAGAAUAGUAUCGAAAGUUUUCAUGUUCUACUUUUUUUAAUUCUUCUUUUUUAUAUCUUUUGUUGACGAAAAAUAAUACAGUAAGAAUAGUGGGAAGAAGUAAAAAGAUAAAAGUCAUUAAGAAGGAAUAAGAACAUACUACUAAGGACAGGUACAUUGAGAAGAAAGAAGAUAUACAUUGUGUACACUAGUAUAACUCUCCGGAUUAAUGCGUGGACAUCGGUGACUCCACCAUCGUACUUUUCUCAUUUAUCUUCAUUACUAUCUUUUGUAAUAUGACAUGAAUUUAGUUUUUCUUCCUUUUCUUUAUUUUUUACUAGUUCAUACUUUCGGUCAUUUCUUUUCUUGCACUGUAGAUAUGACAUUUUUCCGCAUUUUUUUAAAAUCUCUCAUAGAUUGAUGAAAUAUUGCCAUCUAUUUGUGAAUUUCAAUCUAUUUCAUCAUUGCCAUUAAUUCGCAUCAUUAUGAAAAAAUAAUUUGGUAAUAAUAAAAAAAAAGAGCCAAACAAAUGUUUUUCAGCGAUAAAUUUUUAUUUUCUUCUCUUGGAUUAAGUAUUAAAUCUAGAUACAUAAAGUUACUUCGAGUAAUUCGAGAGACAUGUAUAUAACUAUUUAUGUAAUUAUUCAUUAUAAUAUAAAGAAUUGGCUAAUAAUUAUGUACCAUGUUUAAUUCGAGAUGAAUUUACAGACGGAUUUUUCAAACACGAGAGAGAUCAUUUUUUUUACACUUUUUUAGCAUAUAUUUUUUCAUUGAUUUAUAUAAAGAUUUAUUACAAACAUAAAGCAUGCAGUAUAUUAUAGGGUUGAGAAAUCCGUCAGGUGGAUGCACUUUUACGUAACAAACAUUAGAACGAUUAGCCUUGAAUAUCGAACUUGUUUUAAAUCCAUUAUGCUUAAUCUUCAAAUAAAAAAAGAUUAUUCACUGUAUUAAUGAUUACAAAUUUACUAUUGGAUUUCAGUGUAUUAAAACUAAUAUCAUAUAUCUAUUUGAG